GAGGUGACCGUGCUCGACGGGGACGCCUCGAUCCUGC
rnacentral:sRNA from 1 species